rnacentral:tRNA from 1 species
UAGCUCAGUCGGUAGAGAAUCUGCCUGCAAUGCAGGAGACCCAGGUUCAAUCCCUGG